UGCCUGCCCCAUGCUUCUGCUCAUGUUUCCAAGACAAUAAGGAUAAAAUGACAAAAUAUCCAGAGCUAUGAAGCUUAGUAAUACCUUUGUAAAGAUUUCCAGACUCUCUUCCCAACUCCUCUGUCCUAACAGGGAAAAGUGUUCUCUGAUCAUACCUAUCUUCUUCCCUGUCUGUAUCUACUCGCUUUUUCUCAUGUGUGUUGACUAAGACUAGCAUCAGCACCCAAGAUCCUGGAAUUCUUUCAAAUGAUUCAGGAGAGGAAUCUAAGGUUGACAUGGACAAGAGGGAAGCAGCUGAACUCCUCUACCAAACUUAAUAGAAACUCCUUGGAAAACAGUACUGAAGAAUGCUUAUCCAAUCUGACUCACAGGACAUGAAGACAUAUCAUAUCUGUGGACCAUCAGGGAAGCUUUCCUAUGACUUCGGAUUUCAAAGCUACAGGUGGUCUGCAAGCAUGGCACUUCAAAGUGUGUUUUGAUUAAAUGAAGCAAUGUUUUCGUAAUAUGGAUCCCAGAUCUUUGAACUUUUUUCAGAUCAAUUCGGCCAACAAAGAUUC